GAUGAACGCUGGCGGCGUGCCUAAUACAUGCAAGUCGAGCGAACAGACGAGGAGCUUGCUCCUCUGACGUUAGCGGCGGACGGGUGAGUAACACGUGGAUAACCUACCUAUAAGACUGGGAUAACUUCGGGAAACCGGAGCUAAUACCGGAUAAUAUAUUGAACCGCAUGGUUCAAUAGUGAAAGACGGUUUUGCUGUCACUUAUAGAUGGAUCCGCGCCGCAUUAGCUAGUUGGUAAGGUAACGGCUUACCAAGGCAACGAUGCGUAGCCGACCUGAGAGGGGGAUCGGCCACACUAGAACUGAGACACGGUCCAGACUCCUAAGGGAGGCAGCAGUAGGGAAUCUUACGCAAUGGGCGAAAGCCUGACGGAGCAACGCCGCGUGAGUGAUGAAGGUCUUCGGAUCGUAAAACUCUGUUAUUAGGGAAGAACAAAUGUGUAAGUAACUAUGCACGUCUUGACGGUACCUAAUCAGAAAGCCACGGCUAACUACGUG
rnacentral:rRNA from 1 species